rnacentral:rRNA from 1 species
GUGCCAGCAGCCGCGGUAAUACGGAAGAUGCGAGCGUUAUCCGGAUUUAUUGGGUUUAAAGGGAGCGUAGGCGGGAGUUUAAGUCUGCGGUAAAAUGGCCGGGCUCAACCCGGUCCCGCCGUGGAAACUGGAUUUCUUGAAUGUGCACAAGGAAGGUGGAAUUCGUGGUGUAGCGGUGAAAUGCUUAGAUAUCACGAAGAACUCCGGUUGCGAAGGCAUCCUUCUGGGGCAUGAUUGACGCUGAGGCUCGAAAGCGCGGGUAUCAAACAGGAUUAGAUACCCUGGUAGUCCGCGCCGUAAACGAUGAAUACCCGCCGUUGGCGACAUACGGUCAGCGGCCAAGCGAAAGCAUUAAGUAUUCCACCUGGGGAGUACGCCGGCAACGGUGAAACUCAAAGGAAUUGACGGGGGCCCGCACAAGCGGAGGAACAUGUGGUUUAAUUCGAUGAUACGCGAGGAACCUUACCCGGGCUUGAACUGCACAGGACGGAAGAGAGAGACCUCUUCCUUCUUCGGACCUGUGUGGAGGUGCUGCAUGGUUGUCGUCAGCUCGUGCCGUGAGGUGUCGGCUUAAGUGCCAUAACGAGCGCAACCCCUGCCGUCAGUUGCCAUCAGGUGAUGCUGGGCACUCUGUCGGGACUGCCAUCGCAAGAUGUGAGGAAGGUGGGGAUGACGUCAAAUCAGCACGGCCCUUACGUCCGGGGCUACACACGUGUUACAAUGGGGGGCACAGAGAGUUGCUUGCCGGCGACGGUUGGCGGAUCUUCCAAAUCCCCUCUCAGUUCGGAUCGGAGUCUGCAACCCGACUCCGUGAAGCUGGAUUCGCUAGUAAUCGCGCAUCAGCCAUGGCGCGGUGAAUACGUUUCCCGGGCCUUGUACACACCGCCCGU